rnacentral:rRNA from 1 species
CCCUUAGAUGUUCUGGGCCGCACGCGUGCUACACUGAGUGGAUCAGCGGGUCAGGUUGCGCGAAAGCGUUUCCUAAUCUUUAAAUCCGCUCGUGAUGGGGAUUGACGGUUGCAAUUUUCUGUCAUGAACGAGGAAUACCUUGUAAGCGCGGGUCAUCAUCCCGCGCUGAAUACGUCCCUGCCCUUUGUACACACCGCCCGUCGCUCCUACCGAUUGAACGGUCCGGCGAAAUCUUGGGAUUUGCUUUGCUUUCGUUUGUUCGAUGCUCGGCGAAGAACUUGAGUAAACCUUACCGUUUAGAGGAAGGUGAAGUCGUAACA